CAGGCGCCCCCUCCCCGGCCUCCCUGGUGGUGCUGCGGCGGCGGCAGAAGGUGGGUCCCUGGGUGGGGGGGUGUGACACACGUGGGGGGGGUCCAUUUGUGCCCCCCCCCCGCUCAGUGUCCCCUGCUGUCCCCAGGGCUGUCCCCAGUGGGAGGCGGUGGCCGCCCCCCGGCUGGAGGCGGGGGUCCGGGCCCACGUCCUGCGGGCGCUCAACGGGGGGGACCCGGCGCAGCUGCGGGGGCUGGGGCCCCGCCGGGGGGGGCGCGUCCACGCCUGGCGCCAGGAGCACGGCCCCUUCCGCACGGUGGAGGACCUGGCGGCGGUGCCCGGCUUCUCGGCGGCGCAGGUGGCCACGCUGCUGCAGGCCAAUGUCCCCGCUGCCCUGGGGACAGCCCCGUCGUUGUCCCCCGGACCCCAAUAAACAGCCGCGAACGCCGACCCCGCCUGGCUGCGUGCGCGUGGGGGCGGGGACAAGGGGAGGGGCUCCUGGAGAGGACUCCCCGCACCCAGAGGACCUCCUCUCCAUCCUACGCUCACCUUGGUGCCCGCAGGCCGCUUCCUCCUGCAAGAGGACCCUUGAGGGACCAAGACUUGGGCAUUGGAGCUCCUCCACCUUGCGUUUGUGGUGGGGCUCCACCUCUCCCAGCACUCCCCCUGUGGUUCAAGAGCCUCCGUUCCUCGACUUGCCGUCGGGAUCUCGUGCAGAAGACUUCACCCAUCGGGACCUCGUCGUGCAGAAGACCUUGCCCUCCUUGGGAGGUCACGGUGAUGGUGGGACUCGAUCUCCAAAUCCUCCACCCGAUUUUAGGAUGCUGCGGUUCAGGAUCUUGGCACCGGAGGACUCCCGGACCUGCAGAAUGCCCAAAGGAGCAUCGCUCGUUUUUGGGAUGUAGAGCGUAAAUUCUUUCCUCUGCACUUCCACACAGCCUCUGCUUGUUUUUUUUAUUUCCUUUUCCCCCUUUCCCUUUUUAAAAAUUAUAUAAUUAAUAAUAAUUUUCCCUUAAUAAUUAUGUAUUCCUUUCACUAAAUUAUCCUUAUGUGUACCCGUGAGCUGUUUCUUUCCUUUUCUUCUUCCCCUCCUCUUCUGAGGAGGGGCAGUGAGAGCGGUUGUGGCAGAGUUCAGCUGCCUGGCAAGGAAAAACCACCCCAAAAUCUGCUGUGACUCUGGGGCAGGACGCGAGGGCGCGGUGCCCUGCGGCGACAUCUCUGAGCGUCUCUCUCGAGCCGUGAAGUAUCUCCCAAGGGGACCGAAGCAUCUCUCCGUGGAGAAUUGCAUCUCCCCAGGACAUAAAAGCACUUGCCUGGAGCAACCACAUUUCAGCUCUUUCUCCCCAGGGAUCCCAAGGUUCUUUCUGGAGGACACGUGCACCUCCCCACGGCCCUCAAGCACGUGAUUGGAGCACUGAAAGCUUCCUCUGCGAACCCAUCGCCUCCUGAGGCGCUAAGACAUCGCCCAGUGGCAUACGAGCGUUACUUUGAAGAACCCAGCCCCUAAAUAGAAAACCCAAUCAACUCCUCGGAAGACCCAAGCACCUCUCUGGGCAACAAAGGCACCCAAAGUUCUCCCGCGAGCCGCCCCAGCAUCUCUCUGCAGCGCAGAAGCACCUCCCUGGAGCACCCAAGCCUCUCACCGGAGAACCCAAGAACGUCCCCACCGCACUCCUACAGCUGAGCGGAGAACCCGAGCGCCUCCCUGGGGCUCCAGAACACCUCCUGGGGCGGUUCUGGGCACCGCAGUACGAAAAGGACGUGAGACUGUUGGAGAGUGUCCAGAGGAGGGCGACGAAGAUGGUGAAGGGCCUAGAGGGGCAGACGUAUGAGGAGCGGCUGAGGUCACUUGGCCUUUUCAGCCUGGAGAAGAGGAGGCUGAGGGGAGACCUCAUCGCAGCCUACAGCUUCCUCACGCGGGGGAGCGAAGGGGAAGGCACCGAUCUGUUCUCUUCAGAGAUAGGACCCGAGGGAACGGUGUCAAGCUGCGGCAGGGGAGGUUCAGGCUGGACAUCAGGAAGAGGUUCUUCACCGAGAGGGCGGUCGCCCGCUGGAACAGGCUCCCCAGGGAAGGAGUCACUGCACCAAGCCUGCCAGAGUUUAAGAAGCGUUUGGACUGUGCACUUAGUCACAUGGUCUGAAUUUUGGGGUAGACCUGUGCGGUGCCAGGAGCUGGACUCGAUGAUCCUUAUGGGUCCCUUCCAAGUGGGGAUGUUCUAUGAUUUUAUGAUUCUAAGAUCCUGAACUCCGCCAUCUCACUGUCACUGCAGCCAAGACUGAAGGGCCUCAUUAUCGUGCAGUUCCUCCAAAAUUGUCAUGCAGUCCCACAGCUCGGCACCGCUGGGCCCGGUUUUGUCCCUGUCCCCCUUCAGAUCCAGUUUAAAGCCCUGUCCAUCAGCCCUGCUGACUCCUGGGCAAAGAUCCCUCAAAGAAAGGUGCUCCCCAUCAGGAGUCAGUAGGCUCAGUGUCACGUAGACCUCCCCACCAUCAAGAAACCCAAAACUCUGUCAGUGGCACCAGCCUCGGCGCCACGUAUUGAUCUGCCCGUUCCUUUCAAUAUUGAUCCCCGCCACUGGAAGGAAGGAGGAAACCACCACCCAUGCACCUGAUCCUAUUCACCUCAAGUCCUCUGCUGUGCCUCGUCUCCCUCUUUCAGGAUCCUCAUUUCUACUUUCUCCCCCAUGGCUUUUAAAUUCCUGAGCAGCUCAUCUUUGUAAGUACGGAGCCUCGCAGGGCUGAGGUGGUCAGGUGUACGGAUUGAUAAGGAAAGAGACAGAAUGUGGGAGUGUUGAUUGGGUUAAAAAUAAGAAACGAUUGGGUUAAAAAGAAAAGAUUGGGUUAAAAAAUAAAAGUUUGGGUUAAGAAGAAAAGAUUGGGCUA
rnacentral:lncRNA from 1 species